rnacentral:rRNA from 1 species
GACGAACGCUGGCGGCGUGCUUAACACAUGCAAGUCGAGCGGUAAGGUCUUUCGGGGUACACGAGCGGCGAACGGGUGAGUAACACGUGGGUGACCUGCCUUUAGCUUCGGGAUAAGCCUGGGAAACCGGGUCUAAUACCGGAUAUGACCUCAUGUCGCAUGGUGGUGGGGUGGGAAAGUUCUUCGGCUAGAGAUGGGCCUGCGGCCUAUCAGCUUGUUGGUGGGGUGAUCGGCCUACCAAGGCGACGGACGGGUAGCCGGCCUGAGAGGGCGACCGGCCACACUGGGACUGAGAUACGGCCC